CAAGGCAGAAUAGAUGAUCGCCCCCGCCACAGGCGGGGGAGGAAAGUCCGAGCUCUCCAGGGCAGAGUGCCUCGUAACACGAGGGCCCUAAAGGUACAUCCUGAAGGGACGGAAAGUGCCACAGAAAAAAGACCGCCCUGAAGCGUAGCUGAAGGGUAAGGGUGAAAAGGUGGUGUAAGAGACCACCCGGUCCCGUGGUAACACGGGUCUGGGCAAACCCCACUCGAGAGCAAGACCGAAUAAGGAAGGAGAAGUGGCCCGCUUCACCCUGAGCCUUGACCAAGGAUUCGUUCCCGGGUUAAAGGCCGGGUAGAACUUCCGGGUAGGUCGCUUGAGGUGCCGAGCAAUCGACAUCCCAGAUUGAUGAUCAUCACCCUGAGUCCCACCUUUGGCGGGAUCAAGGGGAACAGAACUCGGCUUAUUUUCUGCUUUGGCAA
rnacentral:RNase_P_RNA from 2 species